CCGCCCAUUACAGGUUGUUCCCCCACCCCCUGGGAAGUGCUGGAAGGAGCCCGGCCCUCGAGCCCUCGGCAUAGUGGCUGUGGGAGCCCUGAUGGCCCUGAGCCAGGGGUGACCCCUCCCCAGAUCCCCAGAGCUGAUUCCCCACACCUCCUUAUUUGGCCAGCACAGCCCCAAAGGGAGCCAGACCAUGGGCUCCAUGUUCCGGAGCGAGGAGGUGGCCCUGGUCCAGCUCUUUCUGCCCACAGCGGCUGCCUACACCUGCGUGAGUCGGCUGGGCGAGCUGGGCCUCGUGGAGUUCAGAGACUCAACGCCUCGGUGAGCGCCUUCCAGAGACGCUUUGUGGUUGAUGUUCGGCGCUGUGAGGAGCUGGAGAAGACCUUCACUUCCUGCAGGAGGAGGUGCGGCGGGCUGGGCUGGUCCUGCCCCCGCCAAAGGGGAGGCUGCCGGCACCCCCACCCCGGGACCUGCUGCGCAUCCAGGAGGAGACGGAGCGCCUGGCCCAGGAGCUGCGGGAUGUGCGGGGCAACCAGCAGGCCCUGCGGGCCCAGCUGCACCAGCUG
rnacentral:lncRNA from 1 species